rnacentral:rRNA from 1 species
UCGCUUGUCUCAAAGAUUAAGCCAUGCAUGUCGUAGUACUUGCUUUUCCUUACGAAUGAGCGAAACCGCGGACGGCUCAUUAAAUCGGUUACGGUUCACUCGCCCGUCCGCGUCCUGCUUUGUCAGGGCGUAGUCGGAUAACUGUGGUAAUUCUAGAGCUAAUACGUGCAACUUACGGCUUCCGAGAAAAUCGGGGGCUGGCAUUUAUUAGUCCGGCGUGCGCGGCCUUUAAGGUUUCGCGCGCCUGACGGCUCUGAAUAACGGUGGCGGAUCGUCCUCUUCUGAGGACGACCGGGCUUUUGAGUGUCCGCCUUAUCAACUUUCGACGGUAGGUUCAGCGCCUACCGUGGUGGUUACGGGUGACGGGGAAUCAGGGUUCGAUUCCGGAGAGGGAGCCUGAAAGACGGCUACCACAUCCAAGGAAGGCAGCAGGCACGCAAAUUACCCACUCUCCGAAAGAGAGGAGGUAGUGACGAAAAAUAACGAUACGGGACUCUUAACGAGGCCUCGUAAUCGGAAUGAGACCGCUUCAAAUCCUCGAGACGAGGAUCUAUCGGAGGGCAAGUCUGGUGCCAGCAGCCGCGGUAAUUCCAGCUCCGAUAGCGUAUAUUAAAGUCGCUGCGGUUAAAAAGCUCGUAGUUGGAUUUGGGUCGACCGGGCCGCCGGGCCGCYGCUCCGUGCGGCGAGUUCCCGUGCGUCCCCGGGACCGCACGUUCACCCCCGCGGUGCUCUUUACUGAGUGUCCGCGGUAGCGGGUGACCGAACGUUUACCUUGACAAAACCGGAGUGCUCGAGGCGUGGGCGUUCGCCGCCCGUACGUCCUCGCUGGGAAUAAUGGAAGAGGACCGUUGGUCAAAAAAGGUUUUUCGUCAGAGAGGUGGGAGAGCAAAAAGGAGGUUGUGCUGGCGGGGGGUUACAAAGGGGGGCGACUCCCUUUCCCCCUCUGGUCUUCCUCUUUCUCCUCCUCGAAACCUUCCUCCCCGCGUACCGCACUGUGGAUCGGUUGGCGCUUUUCGGCGGAAAGGGCGGUUUGAGACAGAAGGGUGAAAGCAGGUGGCCGUUUGCCGGAARGCGAAAGCUGGACGGCCGGUYGUUUGUGGAAGCCUGGAAUCUUAUUCCCCCUCACUGUCGUGGUGCUUCCGUACCCUCGGUGUCAGCGGGAGGAGGUCGAAAAUCAAAAUAAAAAUAACGUGUCAUGAUUAAGAGGGACGGCCGGGGGCAUUCGUACCGCGGCGCGAGAGGUGAAAUUCUAGGACCGUCGCGAGACGAACGAUAGCGAAAGCAUUUGCCAAGAAUGUUUCCUUAAUCAAGAACGAAAGUCGGAGGUUCGAAGGCGAUCAGAUACCGCCCUAGUUCCGACCUUAAACCAUGCCGUCCGACCGCCCGCCAGGGUUACUACCGCGACUCGGCGGGCGGUGACUUUCCACCGGGAAACCCUUAAGCUUUCGGGUUCCGGGGGAAGUACGGUCGCAAAGCUGAAACUUAAAGGAAUUGACGGAAGGGCACCACCAGGAGUGGAGCCUGCGGCUUAAUUUGACUCAACACGGGGAACCUCACCCGGCCCGGACACCGCGAGGAUUGACAGAUCGAUAGCUCUUUCUCGAUCCGGUGGGUGGUGGUGCAUGGCCGUUCUUAGUUGGUGGAGCGAUCUGUCUGGUUAAUUCCGAUAACGAACGAGACUCUA